CAGUUCAGUUCAAGAAAUAUGUAUGCCUGAUCUUGUCUGAUCUCGGAAGGUAAGCAGGGUCGGGCAUGAUCAGUAAUUGGAUGGGAGACCAUCUACAAAUGCCAGGUACUAUAUAUU
rnacentral:rRNA from 1 species